UCGCAUCAAGAAGCUUAUUAGCAACCUAAGGUAACAUUUAAUUAAAUAAAAAAAUGCCGAUUUCUAGAAUCGCCAUUGGAAAUGCUUCAGAGUUCAGCCAAGCUGAUGCACUUAAGGCUGCGCUUGCAGAGUUCAUCUCCAUGCUUAUCUUUGUCUUUGCUGGGGAAGGCUCUGGCAUGGCUUAUAGUAAGCUCUAACAAUCUUCACAUAAAUAAUAUUACAAUUGACUGCACCUGAGUUUUGACUAAUUCUAAUACUAAUUUAAUGGGUGGAUGUUUGCACUUUUCGUGGCGGUUUCCGUCGGUGCUAACAUCUCCGGUGGCCAUGUCAACCCUGCCGUCACAUUUGGCGCCUUUGUCGGUGGCCACAUUACCCUCCUUAGAAGCAUUUUGUACUGGAUUGCUCAGUUGCUUGGCUCCAUUGUUGCUUGCUUGCUCCUUAAAUUCGCCACUGGUGGAUUGGAAACAUCUGCAUUUGCACUUUCAUCUGGGGUUGGAGCAGCAAAUGCAUUAGUUUUUGAGAUAGUGAUGACUUUUGGGUUGGUGUACACGGUUUAUGCAACUGCAGUGGACCCAAAGAAGGGUGACAUUGGAAUAAUUGCACCAAUUGCAAUUGGCUUCAUUGUUGGUGCAAACAUCUUGGCUGGUGGUGCCUUUGAUGGUGCAUCCAUGAACCCAGCAGUGUCAUUUGGGCCUGCUGUAGUUAGCUGGACCUGGGCCAACCAUUGGGUCUAUUGGGUUGGCCCAUUUAUUGGUGCAGGAAUUGCUGCACUUGUCUAUGAGCUUUUCUUCAUCAACCAAAACACUCAUGAGCAGCUUCCAACCACAGAUUAUUGAAAGACCUGAACUCCUGAUGAAGGGUAAAACAGUAAAACCACACACUUGAGUUUAUUUUUUAAAAAGUGUGGUGGAUGCUUUGUUUGGCUUCCCAUAUAUGGGUGUUUGAUCUCUGUUGUUUUUGUUUGUACCUUGUAAUAUUUCCUUUUUCUCAAGAUGUUGUUGAUUCCUGUUUACUACUUUGCAAUGUUCUGUAAGAAAAUAUCAAUUUAGUCAAA